UGUCCUAAAAGUGGAGCAAGGAGUCUCGACAAGGAGUGGAACAAGGUGUUCAUCUGCCGAAUGAACCCAGUAAACCCAGUGUAGGUCCUGAUUCACGCAAGCGGAUAAAACACAGUGUUUUGCGGCCGUCAGCAAUGGUUGAAUUCCCAGCGCCUGUUUGCAUCUGAGAUGUAUCCAGAGCACCAUGGUUCCCUCCCCAGCCCAUGGUUGCAUUCCAGUCCGUGUUGUCAGCGCUAAUACAGCUUGAGGCGCAAUCUCUCGUCGUCCGAUUCUCCGAGGCGCUUAACCAAGGCGAGCUUGUUGAGGGCUGCAAGAAGAUUGGUGCGAACGCCAACUCAAACCUAGUUUGUGUAGAUUAACUUUCGAGGUCCGUGCGCUUGUGCUCUGCGGUUAUUCGGAGGUGGCGGUGACGCUAUCGAGGUGCAAGGUCAGUAGGCGAGGAGACAUGGACAAACCUGGACAUAGCAAGAGCAAGAAGUCACGUCGUGACAGCUGUGUGUUUUUCGAGCUUUCUCGUCAUAGAUAUAGAUAAUUGGUUGGUGUCAAAAUGGGCAGAGAUCCAGUUUGGUCACAUGAUGCUCUUGUAGAGCCUGUUGGGGCGACUUGUAGCCAACAGGUCGGAAUUGGGAGCAUCUGCUCUGGGAUUCGGGCUCGUGAACACGAAUUGCAUUUUAGUCUUUCUAACAGCAUAAUGGUAUUCAAAUAUUUUAAUGAUAUUGAAAAACCAAAUUGGCUGCCUAUCAUACUGGAAGUGCCGGAAUUAGCAUUCGCAACUUACCGACAUCAUGAAGUAUGCUUCAUGUCGCUCUACGAAUUAGUUGAGUUUUGUGCUUCAAUUGUAGAAUUAGUCUUAGCUACUUGUUCAGGAUGAUCGGCGGAAUGACGUGGCGUGUAGAUUGGUCGCUUGAGAAGUCAAAUUUCUUUAGCAUAGCAAGUCAUGUUUAUUGUUGCUGUUGCUAUCCAUCUUUUUAGCUAGAUUACGUCAUGUCCUGUCGCUUUUUUCAACCAGGCUGAGGCUCAAUCUCCAUCUCAUGACGGCAAUCGGUCAAUAGAUUGUACUUUGUUUCGACGCUUGCUGGAUGUUUUGAUGUUUGCUGAUUUUUCGAAGAGAUGACCUCGAGGCCUCAAUAAGGAUUCUAAAAAGUUUGAACAGGCCAUGAAUGAACUGAAGCAUGUGCUGGCUGGAUCGCGACGGCGUUCUCCACUUGCGACAAGCGAAGAAGAGUGCAAAGCAAAAGCACGCGAGGUGGAAGGUAUACAGUUGUCAUGCACUUGCUUCAGCAAAUAAAGUGAUGCAUGUGCAGGUGUGGCAGUAUUUUUUUGUUGUGGUGGAUUCUAGAUUUCUGGAUCCAGUGACUAGUCGCAGCGCUUCCGCCGCGAAGACGCCGCUUUUGACGACGAUUCAGCUCCUGCGACAUAAACAGCUGUAGAUGCCAUCCUGCAAUGCGAAUUGGACAUGAAAACUAAAAAUCUUAUUCGGGGACAACUUCGGGUUGCAUACUUUCUAACAGUUUGGCAAGACAGCAGACCCCCUUUUACAAAAAUAUGCGCCACAAUAUUGUCCUUGAUUUCCACUUAAUGAUCUUGAGCUUGAUAGAAAUCUAACUUAUGAUGACAUAUUUUUAUAAAA